CCCAUCCUUGUCUUGGGAUUGCGUCGCUAUCUAAUCAGCGCACAGUGAGGGUGGAACUGCGAACGUCUACACAGCACGCCUGCAUCAACUACAGCUUUGCUUUACCUUCGUGCAAUUUUUGAAAAA
ensembl:snRNA